AUUGAACGCUGGCGGCAUGCCUUACACAUGCAAGUCGAACGGCAGCACGGACUUCGGUCUGUUGGCGUGUGGCGAACGGGUGAGUAAUACAUCGGAACGUGCCCAGUAAUGGGGGAUAGCUCGGCGAAAGCCGGAUUAAUACCGCAUACGCCAUGAGGGGGGAAGUGGGGGACCGAAAGGCCUCACGUUAUUGGAGCGGCCGAUGUCUGAGUAGCUAGUUGGUGAGGUAAAGGCUCACCAAGGCGACGAUCAGUAGCUGGUCUGAGAGGACGAUCAGCCACACUGGGACUGAGACACGGCACAGACCCCUACGGGAGGCAGCAGUGGGGAAUUUUGGACAAUGAGCGCAAGCCUGAUCCAGCAAUGCCGCGUGUGCGAAGAAGGCCUUCGGGUUGUAAAGCACUUUUGUCAGGAAAGAAGACGAUUAGGCUAAUACCCUAGUGGGACGACGGUACCCGCAGAAUAAGCACCGGCUAACUACGUGCCAGCCGCCGCAGUAA
rnacentral:rRNA from 1 species